CAGUAGCCGCGGGAAUACGUAGGUGGCAAGCGUUGUCCGGAAUUAUUGGGCGUAAAGGGCUCGCAGGCGGUUUCUUAAGUCUGAUGUGAAAGCCCCCGGCUCAACCGGGGAGGGUCAUUGGAAACUGGGAAACUUGAGUGCAGAAGAGGAGAGUGGAAUUCCACGUGUAGCGGUGAAAUGCGUAGAGAUGUGGAGGAACACCAGUGGCGAAGGCGACUCUUUGGUCUGUAACUGACGCUGAGGAGCGAAAGCGUGGGGAGCGAACAGGAUUAGAUACCCCUGUAGUCCCUGUCUCUUAUAC
rnacentral:rRNA from 1 species